rnacentral:rRNA from 1 species
CCUACGGGAGGCAGCAGUGAGGAAUAUUGGUCAAUGGGCGCGAGCCUGAACCAGCCAAGUCGCGUGAGGGAAGACGGUCCUAUGGAUUGUAAACCUCUUUUGUCGGGGAGUAAAGUACAGUAUGUAUACUGUUAUGCGAGUACCUGAUGAAAAAGGAUCGGCUAACUCCGUGCCAGCAGCCGCGGUAAUACGGAGGAUGCGAGCGUUAUCCGGAUUUAUUGGGUUUAAAGGGAGUGGAGGCGGGAGCGUAAGUCAGUCGUGAAAGUUGGGGGCUCAACCGUAUAGGUGCAGUUGAUACUGGUUUCCUUGAGUACGGGAGAGGUAGGCGGAAUUCGUGGUGUAGCGGUGAAAUGCAUAGAUAUCACGAAGAACUCCGAUUGCGAAGGCAGCCUGCUGGACUUUAACUGACGCUGAUGCACGAAAGUGUGGGUAUCAAACAGGAUUAGAUACCCGAGUAGUC